CGGGCCGGGGAGCCGCUGCCGCCGGGGAGGGCUGCGCCGGGGCCGGGGUCCGUUCGGGCCCCGCCGUGUCCGGCUGCUGGGGGGGGGUGUGUGUGACCCGCGGGGGAGGCCGCAGAAGGGCGCGGAGGGUGUCUGGGAAGGCUUCCAAACGGGGGUGAAACUCCCUGCUGGCACAGGUUGAAGAAGAGCAGUGGUGACAGGUGCCCCCAUCCAGGGGAGUGCUGGUAGCAAGUGUGAGUGGGGGUGUGUUUGUGCGUGUUAUGAAGGCACUCGCGUGGUGCUUGGCAAUCUGAGGAUCUACGGCAUAUUUCUGACCAUGGAGUCGAUUAAAAACCGUUUAAACGUGCCCCGCCAUUAUUUUGACCUGGAAAGCAAAAGAAGGUACUUGCCAUGCCUAGCAGGGCAGGGGCUGCCUGUUGCUCCAUGCCCUGUGGGACCGCAUCCCUGGUGCCAGAAAGUGGGCUCUUCUGGAGCCAGAGUCAAUCUACAGGAAGCAAGAGCCACAGGGAGCAGUUAAAUAAUUAACCUGAAGGAUGCAAGCGGAUCGUCUGCCCAGUCCAGCGGAGCCUUUCACCAAGGGAGGGCAGGAGCCUCCAGAAGGAUGUGCUUCCACACGCAGGCCUGGCCUGCAGCAGAUGAAAUGCCGACAGUCUGUCAGGAAACAAGUGAAAAAAUUUGCUGUAAUGCUUCCUGCCAGGGUUGGAGGAGAAGCCUCUGUAAUCUGAAGGUCAACAGUGAUGGAAGACAUUCAUCCCUACCUUUAAACAUGACUUAAAUCGGGAAGAAAUACAGUCUCUUUGUACUAUGUUUUUAUGGUGUACCCUGAUGUAGUGUGUUCCCAUGAUGCUUAGAGUGUGUGUCUUGACAGAAUGGGAUGAUGGUCACUUUAUUACAGUUCUGAAGGCCUAAUUUUAUAUCACAUAACGUAGGUCUCUAGUCUUCGUCAGAGUCCAGAAUGGGUAGGAGUCUAGGACUGAGUCCUUUCCUGUAAAUUACAGGCUUAUCUUUCCUUAUUCCAAAAAUGCAUGGAUUUAGAGUAUUGGAUCACGUAAGUACCCAGAGAAAUGCCUCCACUGCGACUGCUCUUGCAUUCUUAAAUUACAGGGAUCAAAACAUCUGGGUUUUACCUCAUUUACUUUAUAUAUAUAGAGAGAGAGAGGGAGAGAGAGAGAGCUCUUUGGCGGUUUCUGCUGUGAUGAAGUAUCUUGGAUACACUAACAAAAACAACCACCACCUUCAACUUUGAUAGUGAUAUCACAUGAAAUUUGGGAGAACGAUUAGUAUGUAAGCUGGCAAACAACUAUUGCGUAUUAUCUGUUAUUCAGACCUGAUCAAUAAGUUUUCCCGUUUGCAACAGAGUACUUGUAGUUUUAUGGGUUGGAUAGCUGAUGAUGCAUUAGCUAACAGGGAAGAACAAAAUCCGCUGCGGAGUUGGUAUUGUAAGUCUUAAUUUUGGUACCCAGUACUUCUCAUUUUGAUAGUGCACCUAACAUUCCUAGUGUUAGUCUCAGUUACAGAAUUACAGCUUAUAGAAAACUGUAUCUACCUACAUAGAGAACCAAAAUGAAAUAGUUGCUUUUUGAUUAACAGCAUCAUGUACUUCAAAGCGUGUGUUAUUGCUUCGGUGCUGAUCCAACUGAGGCAUGAACUGCUAAAGCCCCAGCUACAGCGUGUCAGCUCUUCAGUUCACGCAGCCCCCUCCCCUCUCAUGGUGCAGACAAGGAUCAUGACAGUAUUUAGGCUGUCAGCACACAAAAAUCCCAUGGCUGGGCUGCAAUGGAUUUCUGUGUUUUCAUAGCCAGGGAGAACACAGCAAGAUUUAUUUCUUCCCCCAACCCCCAUCUUCUGUGCUAUGUAUCAUGUUAGUUUGACAUAUGACUGUAAUUAGUAAGUACCUGGUAGUGAGGGAAAUACAAAUCUCUGAGUGAUAAAGGGUUCAUUAACUAGACAUGUCUAAUCAUUGUCUUUGAAUUCCUUGGCAGGCUGUGCAUACGGUCACAUACAGUACAUUAGAAAUGACAAGUACAAAACUUCCUGUGGCAUCUUGCACUUUGAGAGGCUGGGGAAAUGUUGCCGGGUGCAUGGCGCAAGCAGCACUGUGAGAGCAGAGAUUACCAGAGAUCUCAUUGCAGUGGUUCCUCCGAGGGCAUCCAGCCUUCCAGCUGCUCUCUGCUUCUGAUGGUCUCGCUAGUUGUCAUUUGGUGGAUAUUACUUGAGUAGUGCCCAGUGAUUGACUAAUACAUUUGUAGAAGUUUCAUGAAAGAAUUACUGGACUAGAACAGCAAAGCAAAUCGACUUAUUUUAGCAUAACACCACUAAUAUAGCACUUUAACAGUGAAAAUAUGUUUCUAGGUAUAAGCAUGGUGAUUCUGCUUGGGUUUUCAGACUUUUGUUUUUAAGGCAAAUGUAUAGGACUAAACAUGGAGAGGAUGUGAGUAGGUAAGAUUUAGUCCUAAAAAAACUUAUUUAUUUGUUAGGAUACUUGAGAAUCAGAUUAAAUCACUUCACAGUGUCUUGGUAGGUGGACAGCUUUUACUGUCUUGAAAAGGGGAAAACGAAGAAGUAUGUAUUGCUUUUGUUUUUCUUACUGUAGACUAUAUGAAUACAUUUAGCACACUUAAGCCACACCCCUAUGCUGACAAAUAGCCGCAAAGAUUUUUUUCAUGAAAAUACGAUUAGGUAGUUUAACAUAAUUUCAGUGUAGCAUUAAUGAGGAUUAUAUAUACUUAAGAGUAGAACUACACGCAUGGUCUAUGAACGUGUAUGUGUUAGAUUUAUGUAGCCAGAGUGAACAGACACACUUUCCUGUGCAACUCCAGCUGUAACUGCUCUGCUUUUCAGUUCUAAAGUCGGUGAGAUGAGCAGGAUGUGGGAUCUUUUCCAUCACUGCUGAGGGACGGUGUAUGCUCCAAAUACUUUAAAAUAACAGCGGCUUAUGUUAGGGUCAGUAAACACCCUGGGGUAAGAGCGAAAGGGGAAGCAGGUGGAAGAUGACUGAUCCCCUGAAGAUGCUCUCCUUGGGAUGUAACGCUGUGGUGUAUGCACCACCACACGGGCCAGCCUCCGUCAGCCCUCAAUGCUGUGGAAAAAGUAAUACUUACAGUGCGUAUAGAAAAGAUUCUUGCGCCUUCUGGUGCUCUGCAAAGGCAAGAUAUGCUCUGUAGGAAGUUCACAAUAAAUAUCCAGUCAUGGUUUGGAUUUACGAUAUUGAAUUGAUGUUGAUCUAAGCCAAAGCCCUGUUUUGCUGUGCUGUCAGACCAGCUGAAUGUGCUGUCAUGUGUAGAAGAAGCAUCCGAGAUAAUGAUCUCAAAGUUUUCAAACAAAAAAGGAUCAGUUUGCCAAGCAAAACUGUAUAGAGGUGUAAAUGUGUGUCUGCAUACCUACAGUGUACAUGUGCAAGCACAGUAAAAGCUUAAUAAUGGUAAUCUGAGGAGCAGCUUUUAAGAAAAAAUGCAGGGUUCUAUGUGAAAAGUGCAUGUGCCUCAGAUAAAUAAAAACUUUCUGUCUCGCUGGGUCAAUCUGACAGGCCUUUGCACAAGGAUAAUGAUGUAAACUUAAUUGCAAUGAAUUUAUAUGCAUGUUCUAGAUGUUACUGGAGUGAGGAGAUGUGUACUCUCUUUAACGCUGACUUUAGUAGGAUUUGUUGCAGAGGCUAAGGGGAAUGCUGCUGUCAACCUGCUUCGUGAAUGCCACUGGAGGGAAGGCUCAGAGUUUCCCCGAGUGAUUCAUAGAUGUCUUAUGGCUGGAGAUUACUGUGGGGAUGUCAGAGUUGUUUAAUGUCUCCCUUGGAGAGUGCUGCCCGCCGCCUGUGUUCGCCAGCCCUCAAAACUCCUUUCCUUUGCCCUUCGGUCUCUGCAGUAAACUUACAGAUGUGAAUUACUGGUGCUUUGCUCCCACCUUGUAAUACUCCUUGGAUAUUAUUUUAAUGUUACUAUAGUGUUGUUUUUAUCUUAUUUUAAUUAUUUAAUUUUUUAAGCUUUUUUCCACCUUUUCCUGCCACUUCUUUCCCAUAAAGUGUUUUCUUCCUUUUCAUAGCUGCACACUUGUAAGCUCCAAAAAUAUCCUUACAGACCUACUGGAGCAUAAGAUGAGACACUGUACCCAAUUUCAAACUUAAACAUUGCUUUAAACCUGGAAAUGGUAGGAGAUUAAAAACAAACAACAACAACAAAACCAA